GCCUCAGUAACGGCGAGUGAAGCGGCAACAGCUCAGAUUUGAAAUCUGGCCCUCUCGCGGGGCCCGAGUUGUAAUCUGCAGGGGAUGCUUCUGGCGAGGUGCUCACCAAGUCCACUGGAACGUGGCGCCACAGAGGGUGAGAGCCCCGUGUGGUGGGACCCCGAGCCUCUGUGAAGCUCCUCCGACGAGUCGAGUAGUUUGGGAAUGCUGCUCUAAAUGGGAGGUAAAUUUCUUCUAAAGCUAAAUACCGGCCAGAGACCGAUAGCGCACAAGUAGAGUGAUCGAAAGAUGAAAAGCACUUUGAAAAGAGGGUUAAACAGCACGUGAAAUUGUUGAAAGGGAAGCGCUUGUGACCAGACUCGUGCCCGGCGGAUCAUCCAGCCUUCUGGCUGGUGCACUGCGCCGGGCCCGGGCCAGCAUCGGCUCUCCCUGGGGGAUAAAGGCCCUGGGAACGUAGCUCUCUCCGGGGAGUGUUAUAGCCCAUCGCACAAUGCCUCGGGGGGGCCGAGGACCGCGCUUCGGCAAGGAUGCUGGCGUAAUGGUCAUCAGCGACCCGUCUUGAAACACGGACCAAGGAGUCAACUAUUGGGGCGAGUCUAUGGGUGCAAAACCCGCUGGCGCAAUGAAAGUGAACGCAGGUGAGAGCUUCGGCGCAUCAUCGACCGAUCCUGAUGUUCUCGGACGGAUUUGAGUAAGAGCCCUAAUAUUUGGACCCGAAAGAUGGUGAACUAUGCCUGGAUAGGGUGAAGCCAGAGGAAACUCUGGUGGAGGCUCGCAGCGGUUCUGACGUGCAAAUCGAUCGUCAAAUUUGGGCAUAGGGGCGAAAGACUAAUCGAA
rnacentral:rRNA from 1 species